GCCAACGUAGCUCAGUCGGUAGAGCAACGGUUUCGUAAACCGUAGGUCAGGGGUUCAAGUCCCCUCGUUGGCU
rnacentral:tRNA from 1 species